rnacentral:rRNA from 1 species
UGCCAGCCGCCGCGGUAAUACGGGGGGGACAAACGUUGUUCGGAUUUACUGGGCGUAAAGGGCGCGUAGGCGGGCCUUCAAGUCGGAUGUGAAAUCUGGUGGCUUAACCACCAGCCUGCAUUCGAUACUGUUGGUCUUGAGUACAGGAGAGGAAAGCGGAAUUCCAGGUGUAGCGGUGAAAUGCGUAGAUAUCUGGAAGAACACCAGUAGCGAAGGCGGCUUUCUGGACUGAUACUGACGCUAAAGCGCGAAGGCUAGGGUAGCAAACAGGAUUAGAUA